rnacentral:rRNA from 1 species
GGGUUGUGAGGUUAAGCGACUAAGCGUACACGGUGGAUGCCCUGGCAGUCAGAGGCGAUGAAGGACGUGCUAAUCUGCGAAAAGCGUCGGUAAGGUGAUAUGAACCGUUAUAACCGGCGAUGUCCGAAUGGGGAAACCCAGUGCAAUUCGUUGCACUAUCGUUAACUGAAUACAUAGGUUAACGAGGCGAACCGGGGGAACUGAAACAUCUAAGUACCCCGAGGAAAAGAAAUCAACCGAGAUUCCCCCAGUAGCGGCGAGCGAACGGGGAGCAGCCCAGAGUCUGAAUCAGCUUGUGUGUUAGUGGAACGGUCUGGAAAGUCCGACGGUACAGGGUGAUAGUCCCGUACACCAAAAUGCACAGGUUGUGAACUCGAAGAGUAGGGCGGGACACGUGGUAUCCUGUCUGAAUAUGGGGGGACCAUCCUCCAAGGCUAAAUACUCCUGACUGACCGAUAGUGAACCAGUACCGUGAGGGAAAGGCGAAAAGAACCCCGGCGAGGGGAGUGAAAAAGAACCUGAAACCGUGUACGUACAAGCAGUGGGAGCACCUUUAUGGUGUGACUGCGUACCUUUUGUAUAAUGGGUCAGCGACUUAUAUUCUGUAGCAAGGUUAACCGUAUAGGGGAGCCGCAGGGAAACCGAGUCUUAACUGGGCGUUAAGUUGCAGGGUAUAGACCCGAAACCCGGUGAUCUAGCCAUGGGCAGGUUGAAGGUUGGGUAACACUAACUGGAGGACCGAACCGACUAAUGUUGAAAAAUUAGCGGAUGACUUGUGGCUGGGGGUGAAAGGCCAAUCAAACCGGGAGAUAGCUGGUUCUCCCCGAAAGCUAUUUAGGUAGCGCCUCGUGAACUCAUCUUCGGGGGUAGAGCACUGUUUCGGCUAGGGGGUCAUCCCGACUUACCAACCCGAUGCAAACUACGAAUACCGAAGAAUGUUAUCACGGGAGACACACGGCGGGUGCUAACGUCCGUCGUGAAGAGGGAAACAACCCAGACCGCCAGCUAAGGUCCCAAAGUCAUGGUUAAGUGGGAAACGAUGUGGGAAGGCACAGACAGCCAGGAUGUUGGCUUAGAAGCAGCCAUCAUUUAAAGAAAGCGUAAUAGCUCACUGGUCGAGUCGGCCUGCGCGGAAGAUGUAACGGGGCUAAACCAUGCACCGAAGCUGCGGCAGCGACACUAUGUGUUGUUGGGUAGGGGAGCGUUCUGUAAGCCUGCGAAGGUGGCCUGUGAGGGCUGCUGGAGGUAUCAGAAGUGCGAAUGCUGACAUAAGUAACGAUAAAGCGGGUGAAAAGCCCGCUCGCCGGAAGACCAAGGGUUCCUGUCCAACGUUAAUCGGGGCAGGGUGAGUCGACCCCUAAGGCGAGGCCGAAAGGCGUAGUCGAUGGGAAACAGGUUAAUAUUCCUGUACUUGGUGUUACUGCGAAGGGGGGACGGAGAAGGCUAUGUUAGCCGGGCGACGGUUGUCCCGGUUUAAGCAUGUAGGCGGAGGUUCCAGGUAAAUCCGGUACCUUUUAACGCUGAGGUGUGAUGACGAGGCACUACGGUGCUGAAGUAACAAAUGCCCUGCUUCCAGGAAAAGCCUCUAAGCAUCAGGUAACAUCAAAUCGUACCCCAAACCGACACAGGUGGUCAGGUAGAGAAUACCAAGGCGCUUGAGAGAACUCGGGUGAAGGAACUAGGCAAAAUGGUGCCGUAACUUCGGGAGAAGGCACGCUGGUGUGUAGGUGAAGUCCCUGCGGAUGGAGCUGAGACCAGUCGAAGAUACCAGCUGGCUGCAACUGUUUAUUAAAAACACAGCACUGUGCAAACACGAAAGUGGACGUAUACGGUGUGACGCCUGCCCGGUGCCGGAAGGUUAAUUGAUGGGGUUAUCCGUAAGGAGAAGCUCUUGAUCGAAGCCCCGGUAAACGGCGGCCGUAACUAUAACGGUCCUAAGGUAGCGAAAUUCCUUGUCGGGUAAGUUCCGACCUGCACGAAUGGCGUAAUGAUGGCCAGGCUGUCUCCACCCGAGACUCAGUGAAAUUGAACUCGCUGUGAAGAUGCAGUGUACCCGCGGCAAGACGGAAAGACCCCGUGAACCUUUACUAUAGCUUGACACUGAACAUUGAGCCUUGAUGUGUAG